GUGAAGUGCGUUUUUGCAAGAAAGAUGGGCGUACUAAAAUCAGGAUACUCAUUCUUCACCACCUUCUUCCUGAUGUGAUUUGACGUGGGUCUUCCGGUCUGGACUAGAAUCCAGAUAUGCAUGUCCUGAAUCCUAUCCGAUCCCACACGCUCCGACGGUUUUGUUAUUCUUGUUCACUCUAAAAUCUAUAACUAUCAGUAAUGUGUGGAUAACUGGUACUCUGGUAGAGCCAUUCUGUGGAGGCUAGAGAGGGGUAAUGGGGUGUCCACUGUCCAGCUACUCGGAUUCGGAUAGGGUCUGGGUCAAUUUACAACCCACCUCUAGCGGCGACGGCCUAGCAAAAUCGCAUUCGCAAUUUACAACCCAACCCGCUCUAGUGGCAAGAGUAUGGUUGAAGGCGAGCCGGGGCCCGGAAGGCAGAAGAAAAAACGGAAAUUUUGAUGAAAUUAAAAUCUGCCAUGACCAUGUUCUCAUGAUCCUCCUCUAUUGAACCACGGCGUAAACUCCUCAUCAAGAGAUUAGACGCCAUUAGCCUCACAUCCCCCUACCUCUCCAUCUCCGGUGUACACUGCUCCCGGUCGUCGCCGGAACAACUCCAAAUCUCCCCCCGACAUUGGCCAGGAUUUUAGACCCAUCGGCCCCUCCUCCCCAGUGAAUCCUCCACCCAGUUGCCGCCUCGGGUCGAGGUUUCAUUCCGAAUACCUUCCGGCCCAUGUCGGUCGACCAAUUGGUCAUUGUUGCGAAUCCGGGUGUGUUUCCCUUCAAUUGGUUGUGGAGUUUUCCUACCAACUCAUGAGGCCGCCUCAUCUCGAAUCACGAUAUACGGGGGGCCCGGUUUCGGGUUCUAGGCUCCUACCUAGCAAGAGCAUUCCCGUCGUCGUCCACCCCAAAGUUCAACUUCUCAAGGGUUUCUUUGUUAUUUCAGUUUUUACUUUCGAAAAAUCUAGGCUGCUGGUUUUGGCAACAUGUGGUUUUCUUUGAUAUUUAGGUCAAUAUACAUGCCUGUAUGCUUUUGUUAUUCUAUUUUUGGGUUUCAGUAGUUCAAUAUAUGUUUUAAAAAAUUAAAAUGGGUAAAUUUGACUAUUUGAGGAAAGAAAGCUAGUCAUCUUGAUCUGCACAGGCCUUAAGUUAAUUAGUAUUAAGUGCAUAAAAUAGAAGAAAAACUUGUAGCUUUCUUAUCCCAUGAGGAAGUAAAGAAUUUGUAAGUGACAUUAUUCGGCCUCACAACCUCCAGAAGUCAUGAAACUCUGUCAUGGUUUUUCUUUUUCCUUUUACAUUUCCAUUGGGCUGCAGUGAAGAUUUGCACACAAUAAAUAUUAAUCGAACUUUAUAGUCUCAGAGUCAAAGGGAGGCAAUCUGACACCAUAUACAGAGGCUAGAAUAUCAGCUGUGAUCAAAUACCUUAGGCCUACUGGAUCCCAAUGCACCAAGAUGGUCUUCCCUAUCAUACUUGUGAAAUCUUUCUUUCUCAAAACAGUCUCAGCAUCCUCUAGAGUCUUUGGGAGAACAAAACAUUCAUCAAUCCCUCUUUUGGUCUUUUGAAGAAACAACAUCCUUGGGCACCAUAUUAGACACUCAUACAUCUUGAAGCAUUGAUUAGUCCGACAAUCUCUGGACAUGCAUAACCUGUAUAAUGCUAUAACAUUGUUGUACAACUUAGGUAAUUUACCUACCCCACACCACCCUUCAUGACAAAACUAACACGACUUCCAUAAUCCCAUUGCCUAUUUGAAACUCUCAACAUGAAACAGAAUCAGCAUACCCUUCAUAAUGCCUUUCACCUGGGGACUAUCUGUUUUCCAUCCCUAAUAUUAUUUCUCAGUCAUGAUCAUAUUUCUGAUGUCACAAUUAGUACCUUGCCUUUAGAUUUCAUUCACUAAUCUUUCAUCUUACCUUGUUUUAGGCUGCACACUUCCUGUCUUCAAAAUCUGAUUUUGAUGCCUAUAAGCAGAACAAAAGCAGAGAUGAUGCAUUUGUGACAAGUAAUAAUUGAAAAUGUUUAUGCAGUAAAUGAACUGCAAAGCAAGGGGCUUAAAAGCAUUGAUGGAGUCAACAAUGAAGUUUGUUACAUUCUUUGGUUAGGAUUCCUAAACUCAAUAAAUUUUAGUAAACUUACAUGUGCUUAGUGGAUCUUUCUAAAUUCCUUCACUUUAUUGGCAAAAAUGUGUUUUAGUAGAUCUGAUUCUUUAAACUUGGCCUGUAUUUGUUUUCAAAACUGGAAGUUUAAGCAUAAAUGCCACUUUUCUGAGGCACUAUUGUGCUCAUGGGGUUUCAGUAAUAGUGUAUACUUUACAACGUCGAAACUUCUAACUUGUAUAUGUGUCUUUGUGAAACACUUUUGUAUAACCUGUUGAGGGAAUUGCUUGAUUUAACAUUUGAGCUUUUUAUUGGCACGCACGAUUUGGAAUGGUGGUAAAAUUUCUCCCAAGACCUUUUCCUGCAUCCGUGGCAAACAUUUGUUUGCCUAAGAAAACUAAAGGUGAUGAAGAGGACGAAAAAAAGGAUGAAGGUUCUGUUGAAGAUCUGUCUCCCCAAGAAUUGUUAUGGAGACAUGUAAGACGUGCCAAAAGAGUUAGAGCUAGUCACUGAUGACAUUUGAAGCAAAUCAAACAUGCACUGUUUUCGGUAUGGUCGAUGAUGCUAUUUCAAGGUUAUAAUGGUUUUUGUAUGGGUGUAAACAGCAAGAGUUUGUGACAAGAAAAAUUGCGAACUUGCCUUCUUGGAAUUGUGCCUUGUGAAACUAAUCAUACAAGGAAUUAGAUUAAGAGAACAAUGGCUUCAGCGAAUUGCACGGUACAGACGGAGACUUGCCCUUUUACUUCUUCCACCAGUUGAGUAGUACAGAACAAUACAACUGGUGGAAGUUGACUUGCUCUUCCAAAUUUUGGUUCCAAUUGGUCAUUGCUUAUACCUUGGGUAAUGCCUUUGGCUGAGGUUCUAUAUCCAGCCUUGCAGACAGGAGGGAGGAAUGGCGAGAUAAAUUUAACCUGCAUAGAUUUAUGGGGUUGGUGGAUCCAAUUGCAGUGGGGCCAAAGGAGAAACUGAUGGGUGGUUUUGCAUGCGGAGAUAUAUUUCUCACUUCUUAUUGUUGAUUUGUCCAUUCGAAAGAAUCAAAGAAUUGUUUAUAAACUAGAAACAAUUCGUAUUUGACAUCAUUUUGGUGAAGGGUUUUAUACAUGUUGAACAAUUUUAUGGA